CUGCCUGAAUUGCUGUGCUCUUCCAGCACCACUGAUCCAGAAUUCAGCACAUGUGUAGAACGGCACGGACAUCGGCGCAUGCACAGAACAAAGGGCGCUAAACAAUCUGCGCUGGCAUUGCACUAUUGCGAACAGAGGUCUUUGAUGAUAUGGUCCAGGAUGUCCUACAAGGCAUUGAGAUCCAGACUGACACUAGAGGAAGUUAAUUUUUCAUGAGAUCUACACGUCCCUUGAACUUUCUGUUUCUCUGACUCUGUGAAAUCCUCCCUGAGAUUAUUACAAAUUUCACAAAGAAACAAUUGAUCUAAAAUUGAUGAACUUGUGUAAUAAAUAUCUUCUAAACUUGACAAUACCUGUUCCAGUGAAGUAUAUUUGUAAUCAUGCAAAGUGUCUAAAAAAACUGCUAUUGUUACAUUGAUAACUAGCUUUUGCUAGUAUGAAGUUCCAUUCCAUCAAUGUUUAUUUUCUGCUGUAAAACAUUGUUUUAAAAUAUUUUGUUAGAUUUUCAUUUUUCUCUCUUUUAUUUCUCACUUUAAAUCAUUUUGUUUCGUUGUUGAGAUUCUGCAGUGUGCAUCAACAAUUUUUCAAUAUGAUUAGUUACGGAGAUGCAUGCUUGUUCAAAUAGGUCCCAUGUGUGCUGAAAUGGCUUCCCUACUACCGUAGCUGCAGUAGAAAAUCACAAAACAUCUGUAGGAAGGUGCAGGCAUAAUGAAUGACUGAUGUCAUUUGUUUGCCAAUCACACCAAAUUCUGGCACAGCAAAACAUCAGAUCUCUACCCUUGAAGUCAUUGUUAAACGUUUGAGUUCUGAAAUUUAGGAAAGAUGUGAAAUGUAUUCCUGUCAGAAUGAUCAUCAUCCAAAUGGUCCACCUUCUCAUGUAAUGGGCAUUAACUUGACAUCACAGACUCUGGAGCUUGCAUAGAUUUAUUUAUGUGUUUCAAGCCCUAAAAGAAAAGGUCCUCAGUAGCAUGACACAUUACAGAAAUCCUUAACGUGGAUGAAAUGGAUGAAAAAACGCAGGAAUGUUGCAUCUACCUGAAAAAGGAAUAGAAUUUUUAGGUAGGAUCCACAGCACUGAUGAUGUUCAGAUACAAUAUCCAAUGGGCCAAUUAAUUUUCAAAACAAUCAAAUUGACCUUUGCAUUCUUAUCUGAGUCCUAAUGUGGGGUUUAUCUCAUUGUUACAUCCUAGGAAAGCAUUGUAUUGAAUUCCAUUGUCAAAUAGAAUCAUGGUGUCUUUAAAGAAUGGAAACAUAAAAGCCAAGGCAAGUUCACUAAUGAUGUAUAGACAUUCGGAAGCACUUAAGGAUGCAGUGAAGACAUCAUUGUUCAAUGCACAAAUGACUAGUGAAGAAAUAUAUAUUGAAUGCUGGAUGAUAUUUUAUCAAAAUAAAGUGCUACAUGUAACCUCUGUUAUUUCAAAGAAAGUCACAAUGUCACGAAAAUAAACCAUACCAAGCAUACUGCUUCCCAGUGAAUGAUUAAGCUAUACUGAAUGGACUGCCUAUUUUUUUGUCCAGAGAAAGCUUUUAUGAAUAACAUCAAAUAUGUCUACAUCAUCAAUCUUUUUCUUCUCAAAGCACAGAGUCUAAAUAGUAAAAUACGGAUGGUCUUUCAGCGUGUUGUUUAAUCUAUGAGAUAUAAAUAUGUAAUGCCUUACUCAAAUCUGAAUACAGUAAUGUCCCUAUUUCAUAACUGUAUUACCUCAUAACUUUGUCAACACGUCAAUGUUGUGCUCAUCUGCCACAGAUUUCAGUGAUAAUAAUUUUAUGUUCAAUUUAUUGUUUUAUUUAAUAAAUAUGGAAGGCCAUGAACAAAACUGAUGUAUAGCUUACGGCACUGCAUUCAAAUCUGUAAUAUUGUUCACCAGUCACUUGUGUAGAAUCCCUGAUCUAUGCAUAAAAUAUUCUGAGUGAUUUAUGUUUUCAGUGUUCAGCAAUGCUUAGUAUUGUCAGUCCAGCACAUGUCAGACUGGUUUUGGUCAUUAACAAGCUCUUGCAAUAGAUUUUAAUUUGCAUUAAUUAUUUUGUGUUUG